CUUUCACAAACCCUACAAAGAGAAGAAAAAUUAGAAAGGAAGGAGAAACAACAUCUUACUUUAAUCCUUUGCAAUUUAUUUAUGAGGAAGCAAGAGAAGUCUUUCAUAAGUGGUUGAGUCUUCAACAAGGGUAAUUAUCUUUACUUUAAACUUGUAAUAGUUUCUUUUUGGCAACUUCUUUGCUUGACCAUGGUUUUUUGAUAUAUUAUUACAAUAAGGUUUAAGGUUGAUACUGAUUACUUGCAUGCGGACAAAGAAUGGUUUGAGUCACUAGUUCAGCAUGGUUCAUGACUCAAAGACACAGUUAGUAAAUGUUCUUAUUGUGUUUGUUUUUACUUAUUAAUAUAUUGUUAUUAUAAUGAAAUAGUAUAACUAAUGUUUUUUUUUUGUAUAUGUUGUCUAGCAUAUUGAUGUUGUUUUCUACUUUUUUUGUAAGCGGAUAAUAGAAAAGCCUUAUGCAUUUUAUCAAAAUUUUACCACCACAGAUACAAUGUUUUGGGUAUGUAUAGUUUCUUUUUACUAUUGACCCUCAUAAUACUAGUUAAAUUAUGGUAGUUUAACUAUUCUUUUUUACCUUUUCUUUAGCAAAAUGUGAAAGCAAGGUGGGAGAAGCAUGCUAAAAAGUGGAAUCAAUUCCAAAUGCAUGCAAAUGAUAUUCUUAUUGACUAUGUUAAUGGGCUUCACCCAAUUCCUUCCAUGAAAUGGUCUGAGGUGGACAUCGUCUAUGUCCCUAUUAAUGUCCGAAGUAUGCAUUGGGUAUUGGGAGUAGUUCACCUUGCUCAGAGGAGAAUAUUUAUGAAUGACUCACUGAUAGGCAUUAAUAGUGAUAAUCGACUAAAAGGUGCCAUAAUACCUUUAGCUAAAGUCUUACUGCGCAUUUUGCAUGCUACAUCAUAUUAUGGGAAGAACGAAUAUCCUAAGAGUGAAGAACAGUGGAACAUUGAAUGGUUGCAUGAGGUUCCUCAAUAAGAAUAUGAUGGUGAUUAUGGGAUGUUCCUGAUUAAACAUGCAGAAUACUUAAUGCAUGAUUAUCCAUUAAGCUCACUGACCGGUGCCUGCAUUGAUUGGUUUAGAGAGAAAAUGGCAACUAAAUUGUUCUACUUCAAAAUUUUACCCAUGUAGUGGGUUUCAUUUUGAUUAUGUAAUAGGCUUAUAUGUUGUUGAGUGUUGACUUUUAUUUUGGAUGAAUUUGACUUGAUGCUCAAAGUUACAAUUUUUGUAAUGUAACUAUAACUAUCAACUUAACUAUA